UGAACGUGGAGCUGACCCAGGCCCCUUGUCCAUCCUCCUCCUCCUGCAGGGGACAGGCCUAAGCCGCCUGCUCUGGUCAGCUGCCGCCUGCUCCCCAUUAACUGGUGCUGUGGCCUCCAGCUGCGUCUCCGUCUCCGAGUCGGCCUUGCCUGCUCCCCUGGGGCUGUUGGAGGACACCGUGGAGCCUGGGCUGAGGCGUAGCACAGCGGCUGGCAGCCUGAGCCUGCGAGUACCUCAGUUUCCUUCCGUUGUACGUGAGGCUCCGGGUCACUUCCUGCCAAGGCCCUCAGGGUCCCCUGACUCAGGGUCUGGAGCUGAGGAGUCUGGGCUGCCCCCGUCAUCUCCUUCCCACCCCAGUCCCAGAGACGGUGGUUUCCAGGGAUCCUGAGGACCCAGGGUAAGGGAGGGCCCUAGAGAUGUCCUCUUGCCCACUGGGCAGGCCGGGCAUCACUGUGCCCCUUGCAGAUGAGGACACUGAGGCUCGCUGAGUCGAGGCAGCCUGCCUGGAGCACCUUCCCCAGGGGACACAGCCAAGGCAGGGCGUUUCCACCCAGCCACCAGCUUCCAGGGGCGGGGUGACGCGUCCGGCCUUUGGCCAGCUGUGCCCUGCCAGGAAGGGGACGCUGUUCCUCCCAGGCUCUGGAUCCGCCGGUAGGGUCCCGGCAAGGGCACAGCUCACUUCCUCAGGACCUGCCCGGCUGAGGGGCGAGGCCGGCCUGCACUUGCUCAGCACCAAGGGUCUCCUCUUUCACAGCGUGUUUCCUGCUCCCUGAAGGUCCCCACAGGUCCCCAGUCUGUGCCUGGUAACCCGUGCGUCCCCUGCUGCAUAAAGACAUUUAUUGAGCACCAACUGUGUACUAGUCCUGGGAGGGCCGUGACCAACACAGACAGGACCUGACUUUGUGGUCACUGAACACACUUGCAAAACCAUGGUGAUGGCACCAGGAUGCAAGAAAGGUUCAGAAGGCAGCUGGAGCAGCCGCGCCCCACCUCCAAGGGAGGAUGUGGCGGACGUGCCCUCCCCCACGGGCAGCCCCUCCCUCCUCGAAAGGUGACCUCAUCCCGAAUCUGGUGUCAUAGUGCUCCUUCCCGGCUGCCUGCGUGUCCCUGGCCACACCAACACCGGGAAGGGACCCCCCCAGGCCCCAGGCUGACCGGGGGGCCGUGUGGCCAAGCUGAGCACUGCCCGCCCCUCUGGAGGCACGGCCUCCCUGUCAGCCUGACACCCGACAGAUGCCCAGCUCCUUGUCACUGUCACUGCAGCCCUGGAGAGAGGAGGCUCUGUGCAUCCGAGGCGGGUGCUCCGUUUCCUCACCUGUGGUCCUCCCUUCUGCUCAGGGUCCUCAGGGACGCACUCGUGCACAUUCACCAACUGGCUGUGGGCACCAGCGUGCGCCAGGCUCUGCCCUAAGAUGCAGGGACACAGGACGACAGAGUCUCACUGAGCUCCUUAGCGCCUCACUGCUGAGGCUGACUUUGAACUCGCGACCCUCCCGCCCCGUCCUCCGGAGCCCUGGGAUGACUGCGCCUGCUCCAUUCAGCUUUUACCAGCACAGUGGCCCCUUCUAGGAGGCCACCCUGACUUCUAGCAGACCUCUCCUCUGUGCCUGGCAUGGUGUCCCUCCAGUGGCCACCCCCAGUUCCCCCAUGCUGGACAAACUGGUGCUUGAUGGUACUGUGCCCUCCUGCAGAUGAGGAAAUGGAGGUCAGGGAGGUAACUGGACUCAUCCCCCAGAUGAGGAUACCGAGGGCCAGGGAGACAGCGAGACGUGGUGAAAGAUGCAGCCCAGCCUCAGGAGCUGCCCUGGCCUGGCCUGGCCUCGAGCCAGGAGACCGGCUGCUCCUGCUGCCACCCACAACUCUGGAGCCCCCCUCUUGCCUCAGGAAGAAGACAAGGACCUGAGCCUGCCGUCCCCCAGGCUGGCACUGGGGCCUGACCCCCUGCACACACACUGCCUGUCUCCAAACUGGGCCGAGUCCAAGGCCCCUGGACAUCACCAGGGCCCUGAGCAGCAGCCUCAUUCCAGGGGAGCGGCUGCGGGACCAGGUGGAGAGACUGCUCUCGGGUCCCCCGAUGGUCCCUUCCUGCUCACUGAGGACAGGACGCUGCUCUGCAAGGCCUAGCCCCUGUUGUCAUCACCUGCCCUAGUUCUGGGCACAGAGCCGCUGCACUAAGGCCUCACAGGGAGUCCCUCUGCAUGGGACGUGGCCACAGUGGGACCCCUAGAGGAGACUCUUCCCAGAAAUUUGUAAUGACAGCUUCUCUAAUAUCCAUAACCAUUUGAGCCGGAGAACAUUAUACUCUACUCUCUGCAUUUUACAGAUAAGGCUCAGAGAGGCUGAGUGAUUUUUCCUCAGGUCACACAGUGGGAGCUGGGAUUGGAACCCCGGCCUUCUAGUUACAGAGCACACAUCCUUAACCGCCCAUCUCCAGUGUGUCUGAAACUGCUGGGGUGUAGUAGGUGCUUUCCCAAGGUCCCCUUGGCCGCAGUCAGAGUCUGGAUUCGGAUUUCGGCCAGCCUCGAGGUCAGCGGCCAGCCGUUCUGCCUGUGCCCGGGAGGAAUGUUGGUGGUAGCCUCGGCCGGGGUCCGAGAAGAAAGGCAGCCUUGUGGGCGAAAGAUGGAAUUGAGAUAGGAACCAGGUGGGGUGUCACCCUCUGUAAUCCCAGCUACUCCGGAGGCCAAGGCAGGAGGAUCACACGUUCAAGGCCAGCCAUCAGCAAUUUAGGGAGACUCCAUAUCAAAAUAAAAAUUAAAAAAGCUGAGGACGUGGCUCAGUGGUAGAGCAACCCUGGGUUCAAAACCCUAGUACUGCAAAAUGAAUAAAUGAUUUAGAAAUAAUAAUAAAUAAUUAAAAUAAAAUAAAUGCACACACACACUGCUCUGAACC